UCUUCAGUAGCUCAAUCGGCAGAGCAUUUAGCUGUUAACUAAAUGGUUGUAGGUUCAAGUCCUGCCUGAAGAG
rfam:Monosiga brevicollis mitochondrion, complete genome.